rnacentral:misc_RNA from 1 species
CCGAGUUUACAACUCCCAAACCCCUGUGAACAUACCACUUGUUGCCUCGGCGGAUCAGCCCGCUCCCGGUAAAACGGGACGGCCCGCCAGAGGACCCCUAAACUCUGUUUCUAUAUGUAGCUUCUGAGUAAAACCAUAAAUAAAUCA